UAAUAACAUUCGUGAAUUUUUUCGCGGAUUUGAGUUUUCCAGUAUUUUUAUAAUACAAAAAUGUUGGUAACUUUAAAAUUAUUUAUAACUUGGUACAAGUUGAAAACGUACUAUAUGUGUGGUUCGCUGACAACUUGUCCAUCUUUAUAUAUUAUGCGCGCACUUGGUUUUUUGAGCUCUGUGCGAGUAUAUAUUUUUU
rnacentral:misc_RNA from 1 species